AUACCACAAUUUGCUUUGUUAAAAAAUAACAGGUCUAGAUAUUCAUGCCAAUAAUACUUGGAGGUAGAAAGACCAAGUCAAUAAGCCUUUGGGGCAGUGUUGUAACGAGUCACCUAUAGGUCGAGUCACGAGUCGAGUCACUCAAAGGUCGAGUCACGAAUCGAGUCAUUUCAGUUUCUGAUCGAGUCGAGUCAGUGGCUUCACUCGAGUCGAGUCGAGUCAGCAGUUUCACUCGAGUCAAGUCGAGUCAUUGGUUUAAGUCGAGUCAAUAGCUAGACUUAACUUGAGUCAGGGAAUUUGAUCAAGUCCACCCACAUCCUUGUCCCCAGGGCCUCUCGGCCGCGCGCGUCCUCCCUAGGCCCUGGAACAUACGGAACCGGAAGUGCAAGUAAACUUACAGUAGUU